rnacentral:rRNA from 1 species
GAUCAUGACUCAGGAUGAACGCUAGCUACAGGCUUAACACAUGCAAGUCGAGGGGAAACGACAUCGAAAGCUUGCUUUUGAUGGGCGUCGACCGGCGCACGGGUGAGUAACGCGUAUCCAACCUGCCCAUCACUUGGGGAAUAACCUUGCGAAAGUAAGACUAAUGCCCAAUGAUAUCCCACGAAGGCAUCCGAAUGGGAUUAAAGAUUCAUCGGUGAUGGAUGGGGAUGCGU